rnacentral:lncRNA from 10 species
GUAGAAUGGUGGUUGCUAGAGGGUGGGACCGAGGGUGGUGAGGAAAGAGGAAUUAUUAGCAUCAUUCCAUGAUUGUAGAGUUUCAGUUUUGCAAGAUGAAAAAUCUCUACAGAUUCACUGCACAACAGAAAAUUGUUAAGAUUGGAAAUUUUAUGUUAUGCAUUUUUUCCCACAAAUUUCAAAAAUGGAAAAAAAACAGAAAGGAAAGAAAAAAAAAAAGAAAGGACCAGAAAACUUGAGCUGAGUUAUUGUCAUUUAAGAUGAAAGAAAAAAAAGGGAGGGAACACAGAGGCAGUAAUUAGUCCCAGAACCUAAUUCUAGGAAUGUCCGGAAGUCAAAAGUUACUUGGUGGAAUUUAAAGUGGUACUGAGGAGGUAUUUGUGGGCAGAAACCCUCCCUUAAAUCAAUAAUGCUCAAGCCUUUUUCCAGGUUGGACACACCAGAAAAAAAAUCUCCCAUGGCUAUACCCAGUGUAAUGACAAAUGCCUGCUCUCUUAAACUUCACCUGUCUCUCUGCCCCACUCAAAACCCCUCUCACAUAGAAUAAAUGGCAAAAGAAAAGUCUACAUGGAGUAAUUUCUUUCAAAAAAGGAACAGCAGAAGUAGGAAGAGGGGAGAGGAAGAGAAGAGGGAGUGAGCAGCAGCUGAAAUUACAGUCUUAAAAAAUGCUUAUUUUCAAUUAUACACAAAAAAGAAAAUAAUGCAAAGAUUUCAUAGCCAACAUUGUACUGCGUAUAAAAAUUGUGCCACAGUAGUCACAAAAGCUCUUCAUGUUGCUGGCAGAGACAGAGAGCUUAUGGCUUAUUCAAACAAAAUCUCACCAAUCUCAAUGGUGAGGGUUUUGGGUUUAAUCAGAUUGCUUUCCCCACACCUACCAUAAGAAAAUGGAAGGAAGAUGAGAUAUAAUUUGGAGGCAUGGAAUCUUAUGAAGAUAAACAGGCUAAAGCCAGGGGUCUUGGGUAGUCAAAGGGAAGUUCAUGGAGAUGAGAGUAAAAGAGAUUGUUACUGGCAGACUAGAGGAAGUAUGGGCAAGGCAGUGAAGACAAAUUUUACCACUAGAAAAAAAAAAUGCUGCAAUUUCGUUCUGCCUUCUCCCUUCUUAGAAUCAAAAUAGCUUUUACUUAAAUGUUAUUAGUCCUUGCCUUCCUCCCACCCCAACUGCCAUGGGCACUAGAGGGGUGAGACAAAGCAAAAAUGAACCUGCAUGGGGAGCUGGUUCAGUAGCAGCAAUGGGGCUCCCAGGGAUUGUCCAAGGCAAGCUGCAAGAUACAAGGAGGAAUGUGCUGGAUUAUUGAUGCCAUGAGGUACACAAAAAGACAACUUGGUGGAAACUCUGUCACACAGAUUGCUACAAGAAAGCUAGCCUGGCUAGCAGCCAUGCAUAGUGUCACUUUAAUGUGCAGCCCUUCUGACCUGGGAGAAGGCUGCCAGAGGCGGCAUUCCCUAAGGGAGGCUGUGAGAUUUGCCCUGCCCACUCUGGACACCGGGUUCCUGUCAGCAGU